rnacentral:rRNA from 1 species
CAACCUGCCGUCUACUCUUGGACAGCCUUCUGAAAGGAAGAUUAAUACAAGAUGGCAUCAUGAGUCCGCAUGUUCACAUGAUUAAAGGUAUUCCGGUAGACGAUGGGGAUGCGUUCCAUUAGAUAGUAGGCGGGGUAACGGCCCACCUAGUCUUCGAUGGAUAGGGGUUCUGAGAGGAAGGUCCCCCACAUUGGAACUGAGACACGGUCCAAACUCCUACGGGAGGCAGCAGUGAGGAGUAUUGGUCAAUGGGCGAGAGCCUGAACCAGACAAGUAGCGUGAAGGAUGACUGCCCUAUGGGUUGUAAACUUCUUUUAUAAAGGAAUAAAGUCGGGUAUGGAUACCCGUUUGCAUGUACUUUAUGAAUAGGGAUCGGCUAACUCCGUGCCAGCAGCCGCGGUAAUACGGAGGAUCCGAGCGUUAUCCGGAUUUAUUGGGUUUAAAGGGAGCGUAGAUGGAUGUUUAAGUCAGUUGUGAAAGUUUGCGGCUCAACCGUAAAAUUGCAGUUGAUACUGGAUAUCUUGAGUGCAGUUGAGGCAGGCGGAAUUCGUGGUGUAGCGGUGAAAUGCUUAGAUAUCACGAAGAACUCCGAUU